UACAGAGGCCUCGAGCGUUAGGCGGAAUCACUGGGCUUAAAGCGUGUGUAGGCGGACUUCUAAGUACCUUGUGAAAUCCCACGGCUCACCCGUGGAACUGCUGGGUAUACUGGUCGUCUUGAGCCUUCUAGGGGCUACCGGAACAAAUGGUGGAGCGGUGAAAUGCGUAGAUAUCAUUUGGAACGCCAAUGGUGAAAACAGGUAGCUGGGGAAGUGCUGACGCUGAGACACGAAAGCCAGGGAGGCGAACGGG
rnacentral:rRNA from 1 species